rnacentral:lncRNA from 10 species
GCUUUGAUGACUUAACUUGGUCAUCUGAAAUAGCCUCAGAGUGUUGUGAGCUGCCUUACUCUAAUUACAAAAAGUUUAUAUUGCUCAUUGAAGAACUUGGCAUGGAUUGUAAAGAUCCUGUUAACCUACUGAAAAUUCAGGAUGCCAUUCAUUCAUGGGAAAGAUCAAUAGAAGUUGAAAAAAAUCACUGUAAACUACUUACAGAAAAAAUGAAAAAAAUGGAAAAUGAGGUCCAUGUACUACAAAAGGAGUUAUCUGAAACAAUAGAAAUAAAAUUACAGUUAGAACAUCAAAACGAUGAAUGGAAACGAGAUUUCUACAGUUUGAGAUCUGCCUUAAGACAAGAAGAAGAGAAGAGAAAAAAUGCCAACACAUUGUAUGAAAAAAUCGGGACACUUAAGAAGAAAAGAAGAGCAGUACAUGAAAGAAGUUGAAGCGAACAAACAACUUCAACUGACUCUGAGAACACGAGAUAUGGAAUUGAGGACAGUAAGAAAUAAUUUGAACCAGGUUGUACAAGAGCUGAGUGACACCCAGAGGCAACUUUCUCGAGAAAAGAAUGCCAGAAUAUUACAAGAUGAAAUCCUGACCAAUCACCUUUGCAAACAAAGGGAGAUAGCACUGGCUCGAAGGAAAAGGAAUUCUCAGGUAUUUCCUUUCAGUCAUUUUCAAAUACGUGUGCGUAUACAUGUUUGUACGUGUAUAUAUAUUUAAAAUCCAACCAUAUGUAUCUUGGCAAAUAGAGAAUAUCUUAAAACCAUUCAUGUGUGUCUGUAUUGUUGGGGGUGGUGGUAGUGGUGG